rnacentral:rRNA from 1 species
GACGAACGCUGGCGGCGUGCUUAACACAUGCAAGUCGAACGGAAAGGCGCGGCGCUUGUGGGGUGCUCGAGUGGCGAACGGGGGAGUAACACGUGAGUAACCUGCCCUUGACUGUGGGAUAACAUCAGGAAACUGGGGCGAAUACAGGAUAGGAGCUCCUGCUGCAUGGUGGGGGUUGGAAAGAUUCGGCGGUGGGGGAUGGACUCGCGGCUUAUCAGCUUGUUGGUGGGGUAGUGGUUGACCAAGGUUUUGACGGGUAGCCGGCCUGGGAGGGUGGCCGGCCACCUUGGGCCUGCGAUAGGCACCAGAAUCCAACGGGAGGCAGCAGGGGGAAACCUUGCACAACGGGCGGACGCCAGUUGCGGAGAUGCCGCGUGCGGGAAGCCGGCUUUCGGGUUGUAAACAGAUUUCGAAUGUACUGAAGCGUGAGUGACGGUAAUGGGUCAAGAAGCACCGGCUAACUACGUG